UCCAGGUGAUCGUGACGCCAGAGGUCGCCGAGGUGGAGGACCUCGAUACCAUCGUUUGGGGGGAGGGAGGAUUGGGGUCCACCAGCAUCUGAACUCCGAGCCUUGGUAGAUACAUCUAGAGAAGUGGUAUGUUUAGGCUGCUGGUGGAACACUAGGAAAGGUACCCCACCUUUGGUUGUGUGCGUUUACUGUUAAAUGGAAUCACGUGAUCUCUUGCAGUUGAGAUGUUCAAUGUUGCAUCCAUGAAUGGUGCAAGUGUUAAGAUGGUCUUGUGACCUUAAUUUAUUUUGCAUUGGACGUGUCUCUGAUCUUCAUCCAUGAAUGCUGCAUCUAAUUUUUAUAUACACACCGGCGGAUCUCGGGUAGGCGGUCCCGAACUGUGCGUCUAAAGUCGAUGGUAACAGGAGACGGGGGAUACGAUGUUUACCCAGGUUCGGGCCCUCUCUAUGGAGGUAAUACCCUACUUCCUGCUUGAUUAAUCUUGAUGAAUAUGAGUAUUACAAGAGUUGAUCUACCACGAGAUCGUAGAGGCUAAACCCUAGAAGCUAGCCUAUGGUUAUGAUAAUGUGUGUCCGCCUAUCCGGACUCUCUCCGGUUUAUAUAGACACCGGAGAGAUCUAGGGUUACAUGGAGUCGGUUACAUAGAAAGGAAUCUACAUGAUUGAUCGCCAAGCUUGCCUUCCACUGUAGCCACCAACAGCGGCGAGGAGUGGGAAACCAGGGUCAAGCCCCUGGCUAAGUCGUAAGUAUCCUGACACAAUAGUAUUUCCAUUAUGUUUGCUUUGCCGCUCCUUAACGUGCCAGACAUGCACCUGCAGUCCGGCCAAAUCCAACAUCGAGGUAUCCUCCUCUUCGGAGGAGUCUCUGGACCCUUCGGCGAUGAACAGUGAUGUUCUUCCGACAGUCUCCUCCCCAGGGCUGCGGACGACACCGAGGUGUUUUCCCAAAGGACACGGGGCCAAGGGGAGGCAGUUCCGGAGACGCCCUCAGGCGAAAUCCCAGUCGCCGAGCACAUGGGGGAAAAGACCCCCAUGGACUCCGAUGGUGGGGGCCGAAGCCAGACCAGCCCCCAGCCGAAUACGGCUCCGGAAACCCAAGUGGUUCCGGAUUCAAGCGGGCAGCCUCUCCCUAAGGGGGGCGAGCCACCUAUGCCGGCGACCUAUAUAUGUCCAUCCAGAGGCGCCGAACAGCUUGCUGGAAGCGCUUUGCAGCGCUUCUAUUGAUGAAGAACACCAUACUCUUAUGAGUACAGCGAUUGAGAAGGCCGAGUCCGCCAAAAGCGGAUUGACCGAAGCCUGCGCUAGCUUUCUAACGGGCUUUGAGGUAAGUAAUAACAUUGUGAGAAAAAUAUCACCGUAUAGACAGUAGCCCCUGAUGCUCAAUUUGGUGUUCGGAAAGAAAAGCCGAACAGAGGAUCAAACAAUAUUCACAGGAGUCUAACAUGAAAUGUCUAUGUGAAUAAGCAGGCGUCGCUGCUGGCUGCUGCCGCUCGUACUGCGGAGGUCGCUGGAUUAAAGCAGGACCUAGAGCGAGUCGAGGGAGAGCUCGUCCUCGUGAAGAGGCAGCUGGAGGAAAGCCAAGCUACGAAAUACCCUGCGUGUGUAUUUAUUGAGGUCAAAUGGUUUCAGCUGAUAAAAGCAUCAUGAACUUUGAUAGGGGCCACAACCGAAGUGGUGUCCCUUAAGAAGGCGCUGGCCGAGGCCAAAGACAAAGCGGCCAAGGAACGCGCCGCGCGCGAGAGGCGCGAGGCCCGGGUCAGCGAGGUCCAGCAAGAGCUCCAGGAUAUCGUCCAAAAAUACGAGUCCUUGGAGCGUGACUCGAAGAUUCAAGAGUCCGAGCUUGCCAAGGCCCUUCAGAGCGCACAAGGCGCUGGAGCCGAAGCCCAGAAGGCCCGCCAGGAGAUCUAGGUGGCCGAGAAGAUUGCAGCGGGUAGGGCUUUUAUUAUGCAAAGCAAGCAUGUAAAGGAGACAUUCUGUUUACUUACCCGAAUUUGGAAUUCUCCAGGAGCAUUUGCGGAUCUGCCACGCAGCGUAUCAGAUGCCGCAGAGUUCUACCGAGCCGAAGAAGGGAGCUCAACGGAGAAAUUGUUCUGGUCUCAAUAUCUUGGGACAGAACAUCCGAUGCCCUUGAGCGACCGGCUGAAGCAAUUGGUCGAGCUGCACAAGGCAGCCGAACUGGCCAUGAAGGACCUCAUAGUCCGGCUAUGGCCUGCCGAGCCGAUGCCCAGCAGCUACUUCGGCCUCGUGAAGCGGCUUGUGAGUGCCUGCCCCCGACUUGAGGUCAUAAAGCGGCCGUCUUGCAUUGAAAAUGCUCGGAUGGCAUUUGCCCUUGUCAAGAUGCACUGGGUGAAGAUGGAUGCCAAAAAGCUGACGAUCGAGGGGCCGCCUGAGGGUAAGGAGCAUCGUCGACCCGAGCUAUAUUAUGAUAGUGUCCUGGAGGGGUCCCGCCUUGUGGCGGAACAAUGUACUAAGGAUGUAAUCUUUGAAUGAAUGUACUCAUUUUAUUAUGUAAUAUGAAACAAGUUCAUUUGCGCAAUAUAAUGCUUUUGAUUUAAAUUUUUACCUCCUGUGCGGCCAUUUACAAAAUCUGAGAGUUGGCCAGUCGUCGGCUUCUGCCCCCAUGCAACUAGUAUAUGGGUGUUCGCUAUAAAUCUAAACACUCUUUAUCCAUGUGUUUCGGUCCUUUAAGGAGGUGUUUAGCGCAACGAACAAGGCAAUCGAACUAUACAGCUUUAUCACUCUCACUUUACCAUAGAAGUUCUAUAAUUUUAAAUUUUGGCGUAGCCCCUGGUAUUCGGAAGGCCGAACUUGGGGCGCUAUCCACGCCUAAACCGGACAAAGACCGAUUCUUCGCAUGAAGCGGAAAAAAUCUUUAAGGAUUUAAGACCUCUCGAACAGCGACCAGCUCUCGCCGCAUCAUGACAGUCAGUUUUCGGCUUUCUCUACUGAGGUGUUCGUCCGGAAGAACCGGGACACAAUCGCAAUAGUUCUCCUUUUGCUACCCUAGCCGAUAUAGCAGAACAUAGGGUAACAAGCACAGGAGCCGGGCAACCCAACUAUUGACCCAAGACAUGAUUUAGAGCUGAUGCAUAUAAUGCUAUAAGUUCGGGGUGCCGCACUGUUGAAAGUAUUCGGACUUUCUUGCCGUAUUAUGGGGUACACUAAAGCCCCUAGCGAACUGAACGUACCAGAAUGUACGGGUGCAAUUUGUAAUAAAUAAACAGUUAAGGGAAAGAAUGAAGUAAUAAGCUAACGCUGCAAUUCAUUUGAUCAAUACGUCAAAGCGUAUGUAUAUGAGUAGUGCAAUGAGCAAAAUAAGGCUAUUUAACAUGCCGUAACCAAGAGUGAGCUGCAUAUGGGUAUGUAAAACAGGUAUAGCGAUCGUUAGCAGAGACCACCUGGAGAUUCCCUUUAUACGUCAACGCUCCUUGCUUCCUUGGCGUUUCCGUCCCAUGAUGGGCCGAUGAUUAGGUUAUCGGAAGAGCCUCCAGAAGAGAGGGACCUGCAAGAGAGAAAAGAGAGAAGGUAUGCGGGUCCGGGGCGGUUGAGACGCAUUGUGGACCGCGGUCUAGCUGUGCCUCCGUCCAUGCCCAUGGUAUUUUAAGUGCGUAAUUAUGUACGCGCGGCACGAAUUUCGCCGCUUGACCGGGACUAGGACGGAGGCCGAAUUGCUAGGCGAGCUUCGGACGGACCGGAUGAUCCUUUUGCAAAGUACUCUGGGCUCGCUUGAUGGUGUCCGGUGGCUUUAUUGCCGAAUUGAGGGUCUGCCUGAGGAGGCUGCUCUGUACUUCUGCCGCAAGGGCCGCAGUGUGCUCUUCCGUACGAAGGGAACGCUCUGUAUUUCCAUUUACUGUUAUAACACCGCGGGGUCCAGGCAUCUUAAGCUUGAGAUAGGCAUAGUGUGGCACCGCAUUGAAUCAAGCGAACGCAGUCCGUCCGAGCAGUGCAUGAUAGCCCCUGCGAAAGGGGACGAUAUCGAAGAUAAGUUCUUCGCUUCGGAAGUUGUCCGGCGAGCCGAAGACAACCUCCAGCGUAAUGGAGCCCGUACAAUGGGCCUCUACGCCGGGGAUGACUCCCUUAAAGGUAGUCUUUGUGGGCUGGAUCCGUGAUGGGUCAAUGCCCAUUUUCCGCACUGUAUCCUGGUAAAGCAGGUUGAGGCUGCUACUGCCGUGCAUAAGGACACGUGUCAUGUGGAAUCCAUCGAUGAUUGGAUCGAGGACCAGUGCGGCCGAACCCCCAUGACGAAUACUAGUCGGAUGAUCUCGACAAUUGAAGGUGAUCGGGCAUGACGACCACAGAUUAAAUUUUGGGGCGACUGGCUCUACCGCAUAGACGUCCCUGAGUGCGCGCUUGCGCUCCCUUUUGGGGAUGUGUGUAGCAUAUAUCAUGUUCACCGUUUUGACCUGAGGGGGGAACUUCUUCUGUCCCCCUGUAUUCUGUUGCCGGGGCUCUUCGUCAUCGUCCUCGCUUUGCGAGCCCUUUUCCAUGUUUUCGGCGUUUAACUUGCCAGCUUGCUUAAAGACCCAGCAAUCUCUGUUGGUGUGGUUUGCUGGCUUGUGCGGGGUGCCAUGGAUUUGGCACGGACGGUCUAGUAUGCAGUCCAUGCUGGAUGGUCCCCGGUUGUUUCCUCGAUACGGCCGUUUCAACUGACUGGACUUGGAGCCGCUGAAUCCGGCAUGAACGGUAGUGUCAUCGGUGUUGUCGUCGUUGCCUCGGCGUUUGUGUUUGUGGCAUCGGGGCUUGCCGCUGCUGCUUUUGACCUCGGGGGGGCCUGCCUCGCUGGCUGUAUUUUUGCUGCGGGCUAGCCAACUGUCCUCUACCGUGCAAAAGCGGGUCAUGAGUGCCGUAAGGGCUGCCAUAGAUUUUGGUUUCUCUUGGCCGAGGUGGCGGGCGAGCCAUUCGUCCCGGAUGCUGCGUUUAAAGGCCGCUAGGGCUUCGGCAUCCGGACAGUCGACGAUUUGGUUCUUUUUAGUUAGGAACCGAGUCCAGAACUGCCUGGCUGACUCUCCAGGCUAUUGAACUAUAUGGCUUAAGUCAUCGGCCUCUGGUGGCCGGACCUACGUACCUUGGAAGUUGUCCAGGAAGGCUUCUUCCAAGUCCUCCCAACUGCCGAUGGAAUUUUCAGGUAGGUUGUCAAGCCAGUGCCGAGAUGGCCCUUUGAGCUUUAGUGGGAGGUAUUUUAUGGCGUGGAGAUCAUCUCCGCGAGCCAUGUGGAUAUGUUGAAUAAAAUCCUCGAUCCAUACUGCGGGGUCGGUUGUGCCGUCAUAUGAUUCCAUAUUGACGGGCUUGAACCCCUCAGGGAAAUCAUGAUCCAGUACUUCGUCCGUGAAGCAGAGGGGGUGUGCGGCACCUCUGUAUCGGGCCGCGUCGCGACGUGGCUCUGAUGGAGUCCGUCUGCGGUGUACGGCUUGGGCGUGGUUAGGUUUGCCACGUCCGAAUAGGUAGCCGUCGUCGAGUCUCGAGGCACGUCCUCGCGAUCCGUAGAUCGAUCUUGUAUGUCCUGCUCUACUGUCCAGGGACUGCCGGAGGUCGUACAUGUGAUCACGAGUUGUUAUGUCUCUAUUUUUGCGGGGCGGUGGAGCAGGCUGCUGCUCGGCUUGAGUUACUGCUUUAUCCCGUCCAUGGGGUGGUUGGUCCGCCGCACUGCUCCGCACUUGAGGUGGUCGCUCCGCAUUGCGCGAUGGAUAUAUAGGCUUCUCCGGCGCCUCCUCAUCGAACUGAGGUAGCAGUUUGCGUUUUGGAUAGCUCUUGGCUGGGCGCUUAAGGCCGUAUUCCUCAGUUGUUAAUACGUCAGUCCAUCUGUCGAGGAGCAGGUCUUGUUCAGCUUGAAGCUGCUGCUGUUACUUCUUCAGGCUCCUUGCAGUGGCUAUGAGUUGAAUCUUAAAGCGCUCCUGUUCCAGAGGGUCCUCAGGCACGAUGAAAUCUUCGUUGCUGAGGCUCGUCUCUUCUUCGGAGGGCGGAUGGUAACUAUCGUCCUCCGAUUUUUCUGCUGUGACAUGUCCGUCAGGGUUGACUUGCCCUGGCUCCCUAUUGACUCGUUCGACGGUUUGCUCAUCGGGUUCUUCUGUUUGUUUAGCGCCAUCCGGAGUGUUGCCAUCAUCUGCGCCAGUAUUAUUGUCCCUUCUGCGGUGGGAUUUAGAGCGGCGCCAUUGACGCCGGCGCUUUUGCUGUGUGUUAGGGGGGGUCCUCCUUUGCCGGACUUUCCCUGUCAUCGCCGCUGUUAUUUUUCGGCGUGUCUACCAUGUAGACAUCGUAUGAGGAAGUCGUCGUCCAACGUCCAGUAAAUGGCGGGUCCUGGCCCUGCUCCUGAUCGUCGUCCAUACCGUCGAUGUCUUCGGAGCCGUAGUCAAGCAUGUCGGUUAAGUCAUCGACGGUGGCUAUGAAGUGGGUGGUGGUGGGAAAUAAAAUUCCCCCUCCUCAGCCCCUUGCCCGAACUGGUCAUAGUUCGGCUGUGAGUUCCCUGCCAAGGACAGGUUCUUAAAAGAUUCCAGCACAUCGCCCAAAGGUGAGUGCUGAGAGAUUUCUGCGGCGUUGAACUUGAAGAUCGAUAACCGGUCGAGUUCGGUAUUUCCGGACCCGUAGGGUUCGGAACUUAUCGCCGGAGACGAGUUCGGGGUUCCGUUGAUACAGAUAUCAUGUGAAGUAGAGUCCGUGUGCGGCUCCAACGCCGCGGAAUCGACAGCCUCCGUGAUGGGGUUAAGCUUCCCGUAUUCGGAUGACUCGAUCUACUCCAGAUCUAAGGCCAGAGUUGCUGCAGGAGCUAUCUCCUGGAUGCGGCCCGACGACAGGUUUAAGCCAUGUCUAUCGGGGCGAAGGGGUGCAAUUGCCGCGGUCUCCAAUCCGUCAGAGAUCGAAUCUUCGCGGAUGUCCGCGACGCGGUUCAAGCUUCGAAACCUGACCUGACGGCCAGGGGCGUAGCUGUCGAUCUGCUCCAGAUGGCCAAGCGAAUUGGCCCGCAGUGCGAAGCCGCCGAAUACAAAGAUAUGUCCGGGGAGGAAAGUUUCUCCCUGGACAACGUCAUCAUGGACGAUCGAGGGGGCCAUCGAGCCCUUUGUCGACGGCAUAGUGGAACUCUCAAUGAAAGCACCAAUGUCGGUGUCAAAACCGGUGGAUCUCGGGUAGGGGGUCCCGAACUGUGCGUCUAAGGUCGAUGGUGACAGGAGACGGGGGACAUGAUAUUUACCCAGGUUCGGGCCCUCUCUAUGGAGGUAAUACCCUACUUCCUGCUUGAUUGAUCUUGAUGAAUAUGAGUAUUACAAGAGUUGAUCUACCAAGAGAUCGUAGAGGCUAAACCCUAGAAGCUAGCCUAUGGUUAUGAUAAUGUGUGUCCGCCUAUCCGGACUCUCUCCGGUUUAUGGUCUAGGGUUACAUGGAGUCGGUUACAUAAAAAGGAAUCUACAUGAUUGAUCGCCAAGCUUGCUUUCCACGCCAAGGAGAGUCCCAUCCGGACACGCAGAGGGUCUUCGGUCUUUCACAUCUUCAUAGCCCAUCAGUCUGGCCCAUGGCUAACAGGCCGGACGCCCGAGGACCCCUUAGUCCAGGACUCCCUCAGUACCCACCUUUAGUUGUGUGCGUUUACUGUUAAAUGGAAUCACGUGAUCUCUUGCAGUUGAGAUGUUCAAUGUUGCAUCCAUGAAUGGUGCAAGUGUUGAGAUGGUCCUGUGACCUUAAUUUAUUUUGCACUUGACGUGUCUCUG
rnacentral:lncRNA from 1 species